AUUCCUCAUGAAAACAUUUUGUGUCUUCUUCCCGGUAACUCAUGUAUUCUUUUUUUCCUAGGAGGCAAUGUUUUUGUCAUUUAGGCAAGCAUAAUGGAAGAAAUCCACAGACUAGAGACAGAAAACAGGCUAUAUAGCUUCCUCAAAAUCUCCAAGGCACAGUGGGACUCAGUGUAGAAAGAGAGAAAAAACAGAGAGACACAAGAAGAAAAUGUCUGCUGAAAAAUACUGACAGAGAAAUUGCCUGUCAACCUGGCUGCUGAGAGCCUGUAAGCCAGUCCUGGGAAUCAGAAACAUCCUUAAAAAUUGCAGCUAUCCUCUUUGUAAUACAGCUAACAUACAGACAAUCAAGAUGCAUCCUGAGCUACCAUCAAGAAGGGUAAAAUUAAGGAACUAUAAUGGCAGCCUAACAUUUGAAAAAGUAGAAACCGUCUGGGAAAAUAAAAUUAAUCUGAAAGAACCGAAAACCCUGUCAUUUAUUUAUUGACUCUUACAGGUGCAAAAUCAAAAUUAAUGGCAUCUAUUGGCUGCAUGAAGUGGUGGUAUCCUACACUCUAUUAUGUUUCUAGGAUAUAAAAAGGACUUGAUUUUUACCCAAAAUGUAGCUUAUGUCUGUGACAUCUUCCCUUGUUACAUGUAAUUCUACUUUCCUAAUCAGACUGGAUUCUGCGUGAACUUUCUACACAAUCUUGGACUCUCACCAGGGAUGUGCAGCUGACUUCAGACUCUAUAGCAGACUUUCUUUGAACUGAGACUCUGUCUGCUAUCUUAUUGGCCCUAUUUUGGUCUGUCAUACUUUGAGGCCAGUUUAGUUUGUCCUCCCACCUCUGCAAUGUUU